UAGGGAAUCUUCCGCAAUGGACGCAAGUCUGACGGAGCAACGCCGCGUGAGUGAAGAAGGAUUUCGGUUCGUAAAACUCUGUUGUUAGAGAAGAACAGCGCAUAGAGUAACUGUUAUGCGUGUGACGGUAUCUAACCAGAAAGCCACGGCUAACUACGUGCCAGCAGCCGCGGUAAUACGUAGGUGGCAAGCGUUGUCCGGAUUUAUUGGGCGUAAAGCGAGCGCAGGCGGUCAAUUAAGUCUGAUGUGAAAGCCCCCGGCUCAACCGGGGAGGGUCAUUGGAAACUGGUUGACUUGAGUGCAGAAGAGGAGGGUGGAAUUCCAGGUGUGGCGAUGAAAUGCGUAGAUAUAUGGAGGAACACCGGUGGCGAAGGCGACGCUCUGGUCUGUAACUGACGCUGAGGCUCGAAGGCGGGGGUAGCAAGCAGG
rnacentral:rRNA from 1 species